rnacentral:rRNA from 1 species
AGUGAACGCUGGCGGUAGGCCUAACACAUGCAAGUCGAACGGCAGCACAGUAAGAGCUUGCUCUUACGGGUGGCGAGUGGCGGACGGGUGAGGAAUACAUCGGAAUCUACUUUUUCGUGGGGGAUAACGUAGGGAAACUUACGCUAAUACCGCAUACGACCUACGGGUGAAAGCAGGGGAUCUUCGGACCUUGCGCGAUUGAAUGAGCCGAUGUCGGAUUAGCUAGUUGGCGGGGUAAAGGCCCACCAAGGCGACGAUCCGUAGCUGGUCUGAGAGGAUGACACGCCACACUGGAACUGAGACCCGGCCCAACUCCCUACGGGAGGCAGCAGGGGGGAAUUUUGGAAAAGGGGCGAAAGCCUGAUCCAGCCAACCCGGGUGGGUGAAGAAGGCCUUCGGGUUGUAAAGCCCUUUUGUGGGGAAAAAAAAGCAGCAGGUUAAUACCCCGCUGUUCGGCCGGUACCCAAAGAAUAAGCACCGGCUAACUGCGG